rnacentral:rRNA from 1 species
GACGAACGCUGGCGGCGUGCUUAACACAUGCAAGUCGAACGGAAAGGCCCUGCUUUUGUGGGGUGCUCGAGUGGCGAACGGGUGAGUAACACGUGAGUAACCUGCCCUUGACUUUGGGAUAACUUCAGGAAACUGGGGCUAAUACCGGAUAGGAGCUCCUGCUGCAUGGUGGGGGUUGGAAAGUUUCGGCGGUUGGGGAUGGACUCGCGGCUUAUCAGCUUGUUGGUGGGGUAGUGGCUUACCAAGGCUUUGACGGGUAGCCGGCCUGAGAGGGUGACCGGCCACAUUGGGACUGAGAUACGGCCCAGACUCCUACGGGAGGCAGCAGUGGGGAAUAUUGCACAAUGGGCGGAAGCCUGAUGCAGCAACGCCGCGUGCGGGAUGACGGCCUUCGGGUUGUAAACCGCUUUCGCCCGUGACGAAGCGUGAGUGACAGUAAUGGGUAAAGAAGCACCGGCUAACUACGUG